CUCGUCUGCAGUCUCACCAAGAAACUGACACGUUGCUCUCUCUAUCUCCUUCCUCCUCCUAGUUUUCCACUCCCUCUUCCUCGCUAUCUCUCCUUCUUCUUCCCUAUAGUUCCUCUACUCCUUCUUCCUCUCUCUCUUUCUCCCCCUCCCUCUAGUUUCCUACUCCUUCCUUCUCUCUCUUUCACUUUCACUCCCCUUCAGUCCUUCUUGGCGAAUCUUCCCAGAGAGAGAAAGCCACGAUUCACAUCAAGACUCAACUCUUGCUAAUUGCUAAUUAAUUAAUUAAUUAAUUAACUAACAGGUAAGAAAGCACCACAAUAUUACUGUUUGCUGUUUGAGUGUGACAUUAUGAAGAUCUGGCGCUUGCACGCCUCCUUCAUUAUAUACACACAUAUAUACAUACAUUCAUGUAUGUAUGAUACUAUGAUCAUGUAUGUAUAUAUGUGUGUGUAUAUAUAUAUAUAUAUAUAUAUAUAUAUAUAUAUGUGUGUAUAUGUGUGUGUAUAUAUAUAUGUGUGUGUGUGUGUGUGUAUGUAUAUAUAUAUAUGUGUGUGGGUGUAUAUAUAUAUAUAUAUAUAUAUAUGUGUGUGUGUGAUGUGUGUGUGUAGUCUAUUGGCCCAGUUAGGGGUACCUGUUGUUUUGAAAUCCGUCUUCGUAGGCAAUUAUUUAAUUACCUACCUUCCCUAUGGAUCUCUCACCAGUUCCUCCAGAGUCUGGGACUCAUGAGAGAUCGAUGGGAAACGUAAUAUUAUUCCCUAAUAUUAUUAUUAUUAUUAUACAUAUAUAUAUAUAUAACUUAGAAAGGUUUUGGCCAGUAUUGGCCCAGGCCAUGUCUAACUUAAUAGCACCACCUGGCUAUAUAUAUAUAUAUACAUAUAAUGUGUGUGUGUGUGUGUACGUAUUUGCGUCUAUGUUUGUCUCUUCACCUCCACCGAUGUUAGUGUGUUUACGUCCCUGUAACUUAGAGGUUUGGGCAAAAAAGUCCCUUGAAAUAAGUACUAGGUUUACAAAGAAUAAGUCCCGGGGUCGAUUUGUUCGAAACUAAAGUCGGUACUCCAGCAUGACCGGAGCCAAAUGACUGAAACCAGGCAAAUAAUAUAUAUACAUACACACACACACGUAUAUAUAUAUAAUAUACAUACACACACACAUACGUGUAUGCAUGUUGUAACAUAGUCAGACAUAAGAUAGCUUUUGGUCAUUUUCGAGGUCCACGUAGAAUGUACGUUUAGGAACAACUGAUAUAAACGGGAUCUUGUGUUUACCAUAUUCUUCAUUCGUCCGGACGUAAACACACACACACAUAUAUAUAUAUCUGUGUGUGUAUAUAUAUAUAUAUAUAUAUAUAUAUAGGUAGGGAGGUAUUAUCCUAAGUCAGAAUUUUUAAACAGUUAACAGAGCCGAAGGUUAUUAUUAUUAUUAUAUAGUCUACCGAUAUAGUUGGGGGUUACUUUAUGAUUCGAAAUCCCUACAUGUAAACAAUUACUUAACCCCCUAUGUUUCCCAUAGAUCUCUCAUGAGUCCCAGAUUCUAGGGGAAGUGGUGAGAGAUCCAUAGGGAACGUAGGCAAUUAAAUAAUUGUCUAUUUCUAGCAUAAGGGUGUCCACAUAGUGGUUUCUCUCUAAUAUGUAUAUAUAUAUAUCAUGAUUACCAUCGUUUGACGUCCGUUUUCUAUGCUUGCAUGGGUUGGACGGUUCGACUGGCGUCUGGGAUGCUAGGAGGCUGCACCAGGCCCCAAUCUGAUCUGGCAGUGUUUAUACAGCUGGAUGCCUUUUCUAACGCCAACCACUCAGUGUAGUGGAUGCUUUUUACGUGCCACUGGCACAAGGGGCCACAGAAUCUGGCAUCGACCACGAUCGGGUGACACACACACGAUGGGCUUCUUUCAGUUUCCAUCUACCAAAUCCACUCACAAGAAGCUUUGGUUGGUCCGAGGCUAUAGCAGAAGACAUUUGCCCAAGGUACCAUGCUGUGGGACUGAACCUGGAACCAUGUGGUUGGGCAGCAAGCUUCUUACCACACACCCACUCCUGUACAGAUGUAUAUACACUUUUUGGCAUACUCUCUCUUUUUACUCUUUUACUUGUUUCAGUCAUUUGACUGUGGCCAUGCUGGAGCACCGCCUUUAGUCGAGCAAAUCGACCCUGGGACUUAUUCUUUGUAAGCACAGUACUUAUUCUAUUGGUCUCUUUUGCCGAACCGCUAAGUGACGGGGACGUAAACACACUAGCAUCGGUUGUCAAGCAAUGCUAUGGAGACAAACACAGACACAUACACACACACAUAUAUAUAUAUAUACGACGGGCUUCUUUCAGUUUUCGUCUACCAAAUCCACUCACAAGGCAUUGGUCGGCCCAGGGCUAUAGCAGAAGACACUUGCCCAAGGUGCAACGCAGUGGGACUGAACCUGGAACCAUGUGGUUGGUUAGCAAGAUACUUACCACACAGCCACUCCUGUGCCUGUUUAUAUCCAUAAUAUAAAUUGGACAUGGGCGAUCGUUGUAUUCUUUCUUGUCUUCAGGUUCACAGCAAAACACCUGGGUGGAUUCGCAUGAAAAAUGGCACACAUGUAGAGACGGGUGCACAGAUUGGAAUGCAGUUUGUAUUUUUUUCCUAACCCCCAUACUUACCGGGAAAAUCGAUUAGAACUUAUAAUCGACUUAAUCCGUUUGUCCUCUCUGUGUUUAGCCCCUUGUGGGCAGUAGAGAAAUAGGUAUUUCGUCUGCCGUUACGUUCUGAGUUCAAAUUCUGCCGAGGUUGACUUUGCCUUUUAUCCUUUCAGAAUUGAUAAAAUAAGUACCAGUUACGCACUGGGGUCGAUAUAAUUGACUUAAUCCGUUUGUUUGUCCUCUCUGUGUUUAGCCCCUUGUGGGUAGUAAAGAAAUAGGUAUUUCUUCCGAUGCUACGUUCUGAGUUCAAAUUCUGCCGAGGUCGACUUUGCCUUUUAUCCUUUCGGGGUCGAUAGAUUAAAUACCAGCUGCAAACUGGAAUCAAUCUAAUCGACUGCCCCCCCUUGUGCCUAGAGUAGAAAAGAUUAUUAGGUCGACUUUGCCUUUGAAACCAAUAUUUUACCUGUCUUGUGUGUGUCCCCUUUUUUUUUCCAGAAUGAUCACAGACGUUCAGUUAGCCAUUUUUGCUAAUGCUCUUGGUGUUGGGCUUUUCCUGUUGGUGGUUCUCUACCAUUAUGUAGCAGUGAACCAUCCGAAGAAAAUGGAAUAGCACAUGUUACCAUCAUAAGGUAAGUUCAAUCGGACUCUGUCAUCCCUCGUCUCUUUUCCUUCUGGUAUUGAGUACUAACUUGGACUGAACUUUUUAUUGGCAGCAAGAGAAAGAGGGAUCAGUCUUCAUCAUCAUCAUCGUUUAACGUCCGUUUUCCCUGCUAGCACGGGUUGGAUGGUUCAACCGGGGUCUGGGAAGCCAGGAAGCUGCACCAGGUCAGUCUGCUCUGGCAGUGUUUCUACAGCUGGAUGCCCUUCCUAACGCCAACCACUCGGUGUAGUGGGUGCUUCUUACGUGCCACUGGCACAGGUGCCAGGGGAGGCUAGCAGCGGCCAUGAUCAGUUGGUGCCUUUUAUGUGCCACCGGCACAGAAGCCAGUCAAGGCAGCGCUAGCAUCGGCCAUGUUCGGAUGGUGCUUUUUACGUGCCUCCUAUUUAAAUUUAAAAUUUACCAUUAUAAUUUUUUCGUAAGAAUCUUUUGUUAAAUUGUAUUGCAAGCAUCAGCUUAAUAUUCCAGCAUGCAUCAUCAUCAUCAUCAUCAUCAUCAUUGUUUAACGUCCGCUUUCCAUGCUAGCAUGGGUUGGACUAUUUGACUGAGGUCUGGCGAACCAGAUGGCUGCACCAGGUUACGUUUGCGUUUUGUCCUGCUCCAAACACCAUUUUAAAUAAUAAUGUAAACGUUAUUUCUUUGUCGAAGAAGUGUGUUGUAGCUGGCUUGAAGCAUUGUGAUACAGAAGCAAAAUAAGUAAUGGAGAUGGAGAACUUCUUACAAUAAGAUAAAGGAAAAGUUAUAAUCUUCAUACUUCGAGCACAAAGGCUCAUCAUCAGUUCCAAACGGAAUAAAGAAAUGUCAGUCAAUCAACAUGACCAUUAUUGCAUUGACCUACAUUUCUUUAAUCCAUUCACUUCUGAUAAUGGGCCUUUGUGCCUGAAAUGUAGAGAUUAUAAAAUUUUUGCAAGUGUGAAUGUGUGUUAAGUUGCUUCCCAACCACAUGGUCCCAGGUUCAAUUCCACCAUGUGACACUUUGGGCGAGUGACUUCUGCCAUAGCCCUGCGCCAACCAAAGCCUUGUGAGUGGAUAUGGUAGGUGGAAACUGUGUGGAAGACUACCGUAUACGUAUUUUUCUUUUCUUUUUUCUUUUACUUGUUUCAGUCAUUUGACUGCGGCCAUGCUGGAGCACCGCCUUUAGUCGAGCAAAUCGACCCCGAGACUUAUUCUUUGUAAGCCCAGUACUUAUUCUAUCGGUCUCUUUUUGCUGAACCGCUAACUGACAGGAACGUAAACACACCAGCAUCGAUUGUCAAGCAAUGCUAGGGGGACAAACACAGACACACACACACAUACAUGCAUACAUAUAUAUACAUAUAUACGACAGGCUUCUUUCAGUUUCCGUCUACCAAAUCCACUCACAAGGCAUUGGUCGGCCCGGGGCUAUAGCAAAAGACACUUGCCCAAGAUGCCACGCAGUGGGACUGAACCCAGAACUAUGUGGUUGGUUAGCAAGCUACUUACCACACAGCCACUCCUGUACAUGUUUGUGUAUGUUUUAUAACUGUUUCUUUGCCAUGGUGUUGCAUGAUAAUUGUAAAUAAAUGUCACCACCACAUAAGCGGUGUCCAAUCUUCUGUGAAACCACGUUUUGUCAUGGGGAAAUAGUACCAUUCUUGGAAAUAGGUAAGGAUUGGCAACAGGAACAGGCAUCCAGCUGUAGAAAACCCACCUUAAUAAAAUUCCGCCGUACCCAUCCAAGCAUGGAGAAGUUGACAUUAAAAUGCCGAUGAUGAUUGUAAGAAGGCCUCUUUCUUCAUUUUUAAAAAUGUUUGUCUCCUAUUUGGCACAUAAAUAGCACCAUCCGAACGUGGCCGAUGCCAGCGCCGCCUUGACUGGCUUCCAUGCCAGUGGCACGUAAAAAGCACCAACUGAUUGUGGCCACUGCCAGCCUCCCCUGGCACGUAAAAAGCACCCACUACACUCACAGAGUGGUUGGCGUUAGGAAGGGCAUCCACCUGUAGAAACACUGCCAGAUCAGACUGGGCCUGGUGCAGCCUCCUUUCUUCCCAGACUCCAGUCGAACCGUCCAAGCCAUGCUAGCUUGGAAAACGAACGUUAAACGAUGAUGAUGAUGAUGAUAUUUCUGUUGUAUCUAAAAAAAAAACAAAAAGUAGUCGCGCAAAGCUAACUCUGUUUUAUUUCUUUUCUUACAGAUCACUUUAGAAUGAAUAAAUACACCAAAAACAAAUAUAUACAUAUAUAUAUAUGUAUAUAAAUACAUAUAUAUAUAUAUAUAUAUAAAAAUAAAAAAAAAUAAAACAGACCAAAAAGAUUCCUCAUGAAGACGUCUCAUUUGUUUUUGUAAGUCACUUCAGAUCAUCAAUAACUGGCCUAGUUUCACAUUCGGCCACAGCAUGACCUUCCCUGAUGGUUGUGCGAAUUAUUCAUCCAUAACAUGUUUGCUAACUAUGAAAUAAAAAUGAAUAGAAAUACAAAACC
rnacentral:lncRNA from 1 species